GAUGAAUGCUGGCGGCGUGCCUAAUACAUGCAAGUCGAGCGAACGGACGAGAAGCUUGCUUCUCUGAUGUUAGCGGCGGACGGGUGAGUAACACGUGGAUAACCUACCUAUAAGACUGGGAUAACUUCGGGAAACCGGAGCUAAUACCGGAUAAUAUUUUGAACCGCAUGGUUCAAAAGUGAAAGACGGUCUUGCUGUCACUUAUAGAUGGAUCCGCGCUGCAUUAGCUAGUUGGUAAGGUAACGGCUUACCAAGGCAACGAUGCAUAGCCGACCUGAGAGGGUGCUCGGCCACACUGGAACUGAGACACGGUCCAGACUCCUACGGGAGGCAGCAGUAGGGAAUCUUCCGCAAUGGGCGAAAGCCUGACGGAGCAACGCCGCGUGAGUGAUGAAGGUCUUCGGAUCGUAAAACUCUGUUAUUAGGGAAGAACAUAUGUGUAAGUAACUGUGCACAUCUUGACGGUACCUAAUCAGAAAGCCACGGCUAACUACGUG
rnacentral:rRNA from 1 species